rnacentral:rRNA from 1 species
GCAAGUCGAACGGCAGCGCGGUGAGCUUGCUCUCUGGCGGCGAGUGGCGGACGGGUGAGUAACGCGUGGGAAUCUGCCCUGCAGCGGGGGAUAACCCGAGGAAACUCGGGCUAAUACCGCAUACGACCUUAUGGUGAAAGUGGGUCCUUUUAGGGCACACGCUAUGGGAUAAGACUGCGUCCGAUUAGCUAGUAGGUGUGGUAAAGGCACACCAAGGCGACGAUCGGUAGCUGGUCUGAGAGGAUGAUC